rnacentral:rRNA from 1 species
UACGAAGGGUGCAAGCGUUACUCGGAAUUACUGGGCGUAAAGCGUGCGUAGGUGGUUUGUUAAGUCUGUUGUGAAAGCCCCGGGCUCAACCUGGGAAUGGCAAUGGAUACUGGCAGGCUAGAGUGCGGUAGAGGGUAGUGGAAUUCCCGGUGUAGCGGUGAAAUGCGUAGAGAUCGGGAGGAACACCAGUGGCGAAGGCGGCUACCUGGACCAGCACUGACACUGAGGCACGAAAGCGAGGGGAGCAAACGGG